rnacentral:rRNA from 2 species
UGAGUUUGAUUCCUGGCUCAGGACGAACGCUGGCGGCGUGCCUAAUACAUGCAAGUCGAACGAACUCUGGUAUUGAUUGGUGCUUGCAUCAUGAUUUACAUUUGAGUGAGUGGCGAACUGGUGAGUAACACGUGGGAAACCUGCCCAGAAGCGGGGGAUAACACCUGGAAACAGAUGCUAAUACCGCAUAACAACUUGGACCGCAUGGUCCGAGYUUGAAAGAUGGCUUCGGCUAUCACUUUUGGAUGGUCCCGCGGCGUAUUAGCUAGAUGGUGGGGUAACGGCUCACCAUGGCAAUGAUACGUAGCCGACCUGAGAGGGUAAUCGGCCACAUUGGGACUGAGACACGGCCCAAACUCCUACGGGAGGCAGCAGUAGGGAAUCUUCCACAAUGGACGAAAGUCUGAUGGAGCAACGCCGCGUGAGUGAAGAAGGGUUUCGGCUCGUAAAACUCUGUUGUUAAAGAAGAACAUAUCUGAGAGUAACUGUUCAGGUAUUGACGGUAUUUAACCAGAAAGCCACGGCUAACUACGUGCCAGCAGCCGCGGUAAUACGUAGGUGGCAAGCGUUGUCCGGAUUUAUUGGGCGUAAAGCGAGCGCAGGCGGUUUUUUAAGUCUGAUGUGAAAGCCUUCGGCUCAACCGAAGAAGUGCAUCGGAAACUGGGAAACUUGAGUGCAGAAGAGGACAGUGGAACUCCAUGUGUAGCGGUGAAAUGCGUAGAUAUAUGGAAGAACACCAGUGGCGAAGGCGGCUGUCUGGUCUGUAACUGACGCUGAGGCUCGAAAGUAUGGGUAGCAAACAGGAUUAGAUACCCUGGUAGUCCAUACCGUAAACGAUGAAUGCUAAGUGUUGGAGGGUUUCCGCCCUUCAGUGCUGC